GAGAAUCAGUGCCCGGCAGCUGGAACAGGGGCUAUUUAAAGUCAACCAGGCUGAACUCUGCCCCUGCCCCACCCCAUAGGGGCCAGGCCAAAUGCCGGCUCUGAGCUGACCAACUUUCUCCUCAGGUUGAGCUGCCAGUCAGGUAGCAAACAGUUAGAACUGAUCGUAGCCUCUUUCUGCCACUCAGGUCUGCCGAGAAACAGGGGAACCACCCGGAUGUCUUUGAAAAGGAAACUCGGUGAAGUUCAUCAGCGUUGCCAAAACCGUCUACACCUCACCGUCCGUAGGUUGCAGGUUCAGGAGAAGGAGGCAUGUGACCACUGUGCUGGGGAGGAGGUGACCACUGACAGGAGCAGAGGUGGCCUCCUCUCCUAUCCCUUGGGCCAAGGUAUCUGGGAGGCUCAGGAGCAGCAGCAGCAGUUCCCACACCCCAUAACCAGCUGUGCCUAAGAUGGUUGUUACCUGGCUCUUUCCACUUCUGGCCCCAAACUGUCUCUCCAAAAUUGAACUCUCUCUGGCAGCCCUUGGUCUGUUGAUGUGUUGCCUCCAACUCUGUGUUUCCCUAGUACAGACCUUCUGGGGCUUUCUGAACCCCUCUUUCCUCCCCUCCCCCAACAACAACAAAAUGUAAAACUCAGCCUGUUCAUUGCUUCCUUCCUACCAAGAAGGCAGCUAGCUGACUAUACCCACUGAGAUUGUUCUAACUCACGCCAGCAGGGUUGAUGAAAGGGUCCUACUUCUUUGGACGCUCAGUAAGAGCUAACUUUUACUGAGUGCUUACUAUGGGGCCAGGCACUCUGCUAGUAACGCCACUUCAUCCAUGUGUGGAGACUGGAUGGUAGAGGGAACAGCUAGUGAUAGACCCAGCUGGGACUGAAACCUCGACUCACCCAUAACCAAAAGUCUACUAAACUCUGUGCACUAAACCAAGUCACCAGGCCUCCCCAGCCUCCCCAUCCACAAUCCCAGUCUGUUCUAUUUAGAAUUAAGCAGGUCCUAAUGAUGAGGAACACCAAAGGUACUUUACUAGUCUGAAGGACUUAGGGGUCUCUUCCAGAAAAUUCUACAAAAACAAGAAAAUAGACAUGCAU
rnacentral:lncRNA from 1 species